CGUCAGGGUUUGCUUUAAUUUUUCAGCGCGAAGCACGGACGGACGCCGCGCUGUCAAUUCUUCUCAUGAAAAACAAGUAGGCCUAGGACCUACGGGCAUGGCUAGAAAACUGCUCAGCUCUACCACCCUGUGACGUCGAGCCGUAAAAAAGAAACGUGGAGAGUCUGUUCGCCUGUAGCAGUAUUUGUUUUGAGGAUUUUGUAAACAACAAGAAAACAAUUGCCAUGUUUGAUAGAUCCAGAGAAUAAGAAUAACAGAAAUGCCAUCAAGGGGGUCAAUAUCUGGGGUGAGCAGGUGGGCCACAUCAAGCGAGAGAUGGUGGCAGCUUGGGCACCCGUGAUUGAUGGAAACUGGCUGAUAUCGAAAGUGUUGUUCCCUUUGGAAAGAAUAACACCUACCGCAUCCCUGUCGACAUCUCAGUCUGGGGACGAGCUGACCAGAAACCCCGGGUCGUUGAUAUGCUAGCAUACCGGGGAGUGAGGUUUGAUCCCCCACGCUCCCUAUCAGAGCAUUGGAGAGGGGGCAUGGCACAGUCUGGUCCAACAAAACUUUAUAAGCCACGAGCCUCAGCUGCCGGCCCUGUUGAACUCACCAAAGCUGAGAUGAACAGUGAAAUUGAUUGACUGUUUGAUGACCUGAAACAAGUGGGAAAAACAACCAUCACGAUGGAACCAGCAGAGGCAAUCACCAGCAAACUUUACCCACACCAAAAGCAAGCUCUGAACUGGAUGUGCUCCUUAGAGAAUUCAGACAACCUCCCAAUGCUCUGCCUAUCUGAACACAGAAAAGACCCAAGAACCCCCAUCCAGAACAGCAUCAAGGACCUGUAGCCCCUGAUGGCCUUUCUUGGCCUGGAACCUUUCAAGUCUGACAGCGUGUGGUGGCAGCGAACCAUCGUCAGGCCCAUCAACCAGGGUGACAAAUCUGCUAUAAAACAAAUAACUCAGCUGAUGGAGCAGAUUUUCUUGCGCCGCACCAUGACCUAGGUCAAUAGUCAACUUCUGGUUGACCUGCCGGCCAAGUUGAUCUUCGCAUAGAAGGUGGAGUUUUUGGCUGAUCAACAAGCAGUGUAUGACAGCAUGGCAAAGGAAGGAAAGUUGGCCAUUGGCAACACUGAUACAUGUAGGUAUUUCAACACAGGAACUGUGCUGGCUAGUUACGGCAAUGUCCUGGCCAUUCUGUUGUGCCUUCGCCAAUUAUGCUGUCAUCCAGCUCUUAUUGCUGCAGCUGGAGCUCUCCAAGAAGUGGACUCUGCCUCAGUGGGGAAGGCCAGGACGAGUUGAAGAAGAAACUUGUUGAAACCUUACUGGCAGUACUAAGACAGGGAGCAGAUGAGGCCUGGAAUCCUGCAGCUGAAGAUCAGCGCUUUGAUCGUUGCCAUCGACUCAGACAAACCAAAGAUGUUGUCAUCAUCAAGUUCAUUGUGAAGGACUCCAUAGAGGAGCGUAUGCUUGAACUUCAGGACAAGAAACGCAAGCUGAUUGCCAGGGCCUUUAGCAAGAAACUCACCACAGAGGAGAGACAACAGGCUCGCAUCAAUGACAUCAAGACAUUGAUGGACCUCUCUGGCAUGGUGCCUGGCCAGUCCACUAAGUAGAGGUAACAAAGAUGCACGGGAGCAGUGUGAGAGAUGUGGAUCAAGUUCAAGGUGAGCAAAAUUGUUUGUUUACUGAUGACGCAGAAGCAACUUAGAACAGGUGCAUUGUUCUUACACAAGUUUUGCUCAAAACUAGGUCACACUUUUCUCCUACAGUGUGAAUAGAUAAUUGCUGAAUGUUGUUUUCCUGUGUUCAUGGAAAUGCAGAAUCCACAUACAGAGCUACAUAAUAUUAUGCAGUAUUGAUUUUUAUUCUUGCCUUUGUACUUGAUUGUGCCAUUUAACUUUACUUCAUGGAAGAUAAGUAGAGAUCAUUGUUGAUUUUCUUGUGUAAUUCAUGUAUCUUCCAGAACCUUUAAGGCUGAGUUCGGGCAGCUUGUUCCCGUAUGUUCACGAACAGCCCGAUUUGUUGUUCUUGGGUCGGCCGCUCGA